AUGAACUAGUUCAGAAACAUGGAUUAAUAUGAAUAGAAGUAUAAGAGAGAAAUGAGUUUUCAUCUUAUAUCAAUAUAAGGAAUGAAAAGCCAAAUUAACUGUGACGCCCCCAAAAUAAGUAUACAUCACCUAUUCUGAGUCGCCAUAUACAUGGUACAGAAUACAAAUACAACUUAAUAAUACAGUUGUCGUGUAAAAUACGAUAAAACAUAAAUUGAGAGUUUUAAUAAGAAUAUUGUCAUCUAGACAAUAUCCGCUCUCAAAGAAGUCCUCAUUACAUUUAUUGUCACACUAUUUAACAGAAUAGUGAGGACUACUAAUACUAUCAUCUGGACCGUCACUCCGUUCCCCGACUAGUCCCGGCUAUGUUCUCAUUUCCUGAAGAGAACAGUGAAAGAAAGGGGUGAGCUCAACUAGCCCAGUAAGAAAUAUUAUGACUAAGAUAAUGUAGAAUAAAUUAUCAUUAAUCUUCAACAAUGUUAAACUGAUAAAAUAUAACAAACAUCAAGUUUAACUGCAGCGGAACAAGCAAUCCAUUAAAAGAGUCAAGUAGAGAAUAAAAUCUACUAUCUUUUAUGAUUUAAAAAGGUUUUUUCAUCACUUUUAUCGCUGAGACUCAGCUUAAUAAAUAAUCAACAUCAUCCCUGCACUACGACCAAGGAUAUUCAUUAGUAUCACAACCACAAAUUAUUCAUGCACUACGGGCCAAUGAUAUUCGUGUAUUCAUCAAUGGUCAUGAUCAUGCCAACAACUGUCCAUCAAUGCACUACGGGCCAAUAAGGAUUUUUACCACAUUAUUUGUAACAUUACAGUCAUGAUCUGUGUUACUCGGACUCGGCAGUUUUAGAUGGAGUACCCGUGUCGACACGAUCCGACACGGGUGCGGGUGCAGGAUUUGUGUCGGAUACGGCAGUUUCAAUCCGGACACGGCUGAACGAAGGAAGCGGUGAAGACGACAUGCGCGACAAGGAAGCUGAGUACAAAAAGCUAUGGCUUGACCUGAAAGCUAAUGGGUUGGGGAAAAAAUGGGGAUUCAAAAUCCCUAAAUCUAUUUGCAGGGAAGAGUCAAAGAAAGACUGAAAGAGAGGCAGAGAGUAAAAAAUUGAAACUUAACUGCAACUUGGGUUAUCAUCUACGGCCAGGUACAUCUUCUUCUUCGACUCUUCUCUUCUUCUUCUUCUUCUCUUCUGAUCUUCUUCUCUUCUGGUCUUCUCCUCUUCUGAUAUUCUCCUCUUCUCAUCUUCUAGCUACCGACUUACCGAGGUCCGAGAGAACGAGAUGACAGAUGUUGUAUAAUUUAUUUAUUUUUUGUUUGGGAACUUGGACUGGUUUAGGCUACCGCCAUGAUAUAUAUAUAUAUAUAUAUAUAUAUAUAUAUAAGUUAUAAUAUGAUAUAUUUUAAUAAUAUAUAUUUAAUGUGGUUAAUGUAAUCUGUUGGACUGCUGCUACGUUUUGAGAAGUGAAUAAUAUGGCAUACAAAUAAUAUAUAUUUAAUGUGGUGAAUGGGUGAAUGCAUUUUUUUUUUCAUUUUGGGAAUGUUGUAUAUUUUGAAGAGUGCAGUUAUAUAAGAGACUCUAUUUUAUUAACAGCAAAAAAGAAAAAUACAAAUAGUUUUUUUUUUCCUCUCUUUUUCUUGGUAUGUGUAUAAUUGAAAUUACAACACUCAACUUUGAAAAACGUGCUUAAUUUUGUUUUUCCUUUGUGUAAUGAAUAAGAGAGUAUAAAAAAAACGUACUAAUUAAAUUUACAGUGAACUAAUAAGCAUUGCAUGGAAUUUGAUUUUAUAUAUCAAUUUUGAGAGAAAAAACAUCGAUAACUAGAUAAUUGAAUUUUUUUUAUAUAAAUUUAAUGCUCUAUAAUUGAAUUACAUCAAUAUAUAUCUAAUUGGAUUAAAAAAAAUGUUAAUAAUCCCAAUUCCCACCCACUCAUAACCCCACCCACUCAUAAAUUAUUAAUUGAAUUGAGUCAUAAUCCUACCCAUCCCUAUUCCCUACUUUACGUGUAUACAUUGUACUAAGUACUAACUAGAAGUAAAAUGUAAGUAGCUGCGAGGGACCCACACCGGGCCCAAUUCAACAUUUGCUACUUAGCUUGUAGAAUUAAUUUACUUUGACCCCAAAUAUCCCACCCACCCGUCCGUUCACUGUGUUAAAAAAAUCCCCAAUUUCCAAAAACCAGAGAGAACCCAAUCAGCAAGAAUGGCGUCCUUUAAAUUGAUAGUUAAUUCCAGUGAUAAAGCGUCCAAAUCCCCUCCUCACAUGUUCGUCUUUCCUAAUCUCUCCAGAAAUGUCAUCAGCUAAAUCUCUUCGCCCAUCAGCUGCUCUAGGAGCCAAAUUCGAUGAUAAGCCGCUGUGGAAUCAUGUUCAGGUUGUCGCCACAGCAGAUGGUGGAGGGGGAAAUCGAACUUGGAUUUGCAACUACUGCAACAAAAAAGUUAUUGGAUCAUAUACAAAAGUCAAGGGACUAUGAUUUGCUGCUAGACUAGUAUUAUAGUACUACUAAGUAUGUUGGACUAAGGAACUCCUCCCUAUUUUGUUAAGAUUCUGGAUUAAUCAGGUCUAUGUUUACCAUGUCUAUUAGAAUUAUUAAUAAAUUGUAAUUCCUAUUUCCUAAAGUUUACGCUCAUUUGUCUGUAACAGUAACGUUAUGUGAAGUUGACAACUACCAGUUUGCGAUGCUAGUAAUCAUUUAUGAGGUUGAGGUACUCUCAAAUCCUAUGACUCCUAUCUUCCAUACUUCUUAGUAUGUCUACCAUGUAGAUGAGAAGAAAAUCAAAGAUUAUUUCAUUUUGUCAUAUUAUGAUAAAUGCAUGUCUAUAUGAAUUUGGACAGUAUAAAUAUUAUUGUCAAAAAAUCAUAAAUACCGUAUCCCCGCACCCGUAUCCAAAUUCAGAUCCAUAUCCGCGUAUCCUCUAUUUUUUGAAUUCACGUGUCCGACACCUAGAUUCGUACCCACACCCGCACCCAAGUCCGAGUAACACAGGUCAUGAUUAUACCGAAUAAUCCCUGGUCAUAAUCAUAGCAAGUCCAUCUAUGCACAACAGGCCAUAGAUGACUUUCAACAUAAUAUAAGCAUGAGGAUGAUGACAAUGAUAUAAGAAUCCAAUAAAACAAGUUCAAGAAUUAAUUUAUCCAGAAUUCAAUAACGUCCAAAUUGUCAACAUGAUACGGCUUUGUAUAGUAAAAUUCAAGAAUGCUCAGAAGAAUAUUUCCAUGAAAAGAUACUGGAUGAAGCGCAAAUAUCAAGGAUAUUCCACUAAUUUCAUGGAGUAUAGAAGUCAAAACUUUAACCAACUGAGUAUAAUAAAGAAUGGAAUAACAAAAGAAAUCACCAGGCAUGCGAUAGACCGCACAGACAGGUUAUUCCAACAGAAUAAUAAAUAACGGAACCAGGUCAUGCGUAAACGCACAGACAGGAUAUUCCAACAGAAUAAUAAAUAACGGAACCAGGUCAUGCGUAAACGCACAGACAGGAUGUUCCAACAGAAUAAUAAAGAAUGGAAUAACAGAAGAAUUUCACCAUGUAUGCGGUACUUCGCAUAGACAGGUUAUUCCAACAUAAUAAUAAAGAAUGGAAUAACAGAAGAAUUUCACCAAGUAUAGGGUAGCCCGCGUAUACAGGUUAUUCCAACAGAAUAAUAAAGAAUGGAAUAACAGAAGUUCUCUUCAUGAAUACGAAAGAAAUAAUACCCCUUACCUUAGAAGAAACUGGAUAUAGGAGUAGUGAAGUAGCAGAAUACUUUUCUUCUUUCUCUCUAUAGUUUCUCUCUCUAGAGUUUCAGUGAAUUCGUAAGAAAUAAUGAAGGAAUGAGCUUCUAUUUAUAGAAAAAUGGACUGCAUAGUAACUAACUCAUGAACGGUCCAGAUUGAUUUACUUUAAUCUGACGGUCCAUAUUUAAAGCAAAAUCUUUUAAAUAAAAUAUAAUAUAUUCUAUUUAUAAUCUAAUAAAACGAAUAACUUUAUAAAAGUAUUCUGUUUUAUAUAAAAAGAUUUUACUAUGCAAACACUAUGCAGGCACUAUGCAAACACUAUGCAUAAUAAAAUAUAAUAUAUUCUAAUUAUUGUCUAAUAAAACAAAUAACUUUAUAAAAGUAUUAGUUUUAUAUAAAAAGAUUUUACUAUGCAAAACACUAGGCAUAAUAAAAUAUAUUAUAUUCUAAUUAUUGUUUAAUAAAACAAAUAACUUUAUAAAAGUAUUCUGUUUUAUAUAAAAAGCUUUUCUGUUUUAUUAUAUUAAUAUAUAUAUAUAAACUUCCGUGACUUCAUAAAAAGACACCUCAAUAUAUUUAACAACAUUUAUCAUCAUUAUUAUAAUUCAUAAUCUUAAUCGACCAGGUCGUUCCCAGGAAAGAGGGGGCUUUCCAAUAAGGAUUUCUCCCUAUUGGUGAGCAAUUAGGUGACCAAACCUCUCCUUGGUAGAACUUCUAGACAUCAUUAAUAUUGCAAAUAAUAAUAUUAAUAACUCUAUCAUCUCAAUUAUUGAUUUAAUAAUAUAUAAAAUAUCGACAAUAAUUGAAUCAAAUAACGUGAGAUACUAUGCAACAAUUACUGAAGCAAUAAUUGAACAAAACUGAGUGACUUCUCACGUAAGCAUCAAUAAUCAAUACCGUGUACUACUAUGCAACCACGCGUAUUACUGUACUUUUACUAUCGAGUAGUUCAACAGUUUUAACGAUAAAACUUCCGUCGUUAUUUUCAUAAAAAUAUUUUUGUCGUUUUCUCAAUCCGACAAUAAUUCCGUUGUGUGGUCCACCAAUGAUUGUGCCGUCGUACGAAUAUUUCUUGUUAAAACGAUUAUUCCCCGACCAAUCGAAUAUUAUAUAACUUGCAUACUUUGCAAAAUUUAUAAAUAUUACCCACAACUAUAACAUUAUAUCAAAUUCAUUCCAUAAUAUUCAAAAAAAUUAUUUCGAGAAAUUUAAAUCUUUAUUCAUAAAAUCUGGGGUCUCACAUUAACCCCCAUCAAAAUUUAAAGAAAAAAGAGCAUGAACAUAGUAAGAAACUGAGGAAUUAGGAGAUGAUGAUAGGAAUCAUCAUAAGAUGAUGGUAGGAAACACACGGUGACGAAUCUUGGUUUGAACACUUGGGUUGUGCUUUGUUUUGGAUUGUUGUUAAUCUCCUUGUAGUGAAAAGAAAGGUGGAGGGAUUUCCUAAAAGUUAGGGUUUUAAUUUUGAAGCGAAGAAGAAGGUAGAAUUGGGAGUUGGAAUUUGUUUGGGUGAUUAAUUUUUGUAUUUUAGUUAGAUUGUAAUUAGAAAACGAAAGUAUUUUUGAUUUUAUGUUUUACUUUUUUAUAUUUAUGUUAUUACUUUUUUGCCCACAUAAUAACAAUAUUUACAAAAAUAUUAAAGUAUUUUGAAAUUUUACAAUUUUACAUAUUUAAAUACGAUUAAAAUAUAUUAUUCUAGUCAAACUGUAUUUCUGGCAAGAAUAUGAUCGGACCGGCCAAAAGGGAAUAUAAUUGUUGUUUUAAAAUACUUAGAGGUAUUGAUUGACGGUUUUCAAAUUUUGAGGGACAAAAUAAAAUUGCUUUUUGGCCAAACUUGGGGGGACAUUUUUGUCAGUCGCCCUUAUUUGAAAAGGUCACAUGCAUCACUUAACAAAAUAAAUAAAAAGGGGCUAAUGACAAAAUUGUCCCCCAAAUUUGGACAAAAAUCAAUUUGACCCUCAAAGUUUGGGAAUCGUCAAUCAAUACCUCUAAGUAUUUAAAAACAACAAUUAUGUUCCUUUUUGCAAUUCCAACCAAUUAAAUCGCCGAAGAUAGACACGUGUCAACAAAUUAACUAAUUUCUACGAAUUUAAUAUGAAUGCAUACAUAUAUUUUAUUUUAUACGUAUAUAUAUAAUCAAAAUCAAUUAACACAUUUAUACUUGGAAUUCCAAACGAGUGAAGAGCAUCGGAUAGGGCUUUAGGUGAUUUUUCAUAGGAGUUUAGAGUUCUACAAAGAUUGAAAACGAUAUGGGUAUAUUUACUCUUCUGAUUUAGAAAAUGGACUCAAGUAAAUGGUGUUUAAGACCUCUCGGCAAUGACAUGCCACAAUAUUGGGGAAAGAUAGUUAUUGUAUGUAUAUCUGUAUAUCUUUAAUAUAUGUUUGUCUUGUUAACUGUGAUUUGAUGGUGAAUAUACUUAUGAAAUCUGUGAAUACGUUAUUGAUGGUGAUAAACGAUGCUUCUUCGUUGUUUAUAUAUAUACAUAUAUAUCAUAUAGUUAAUAGUGCACCCUCUGCUUUUGUUCACUCUGUUUUACUAUAAAGCUUUGUUAUUUUAACACAAUGUUUGUUUGUAAAAUUGUAAUAAUGUGGUCCCUCUUUGCUGUGUUGUGAUCAUUUUUUAAAAAAAAAUUGCACCCUUUUGUGGUUGCAAUUCAUGCAGAUGGUGAUCCUUUGAAGGCUUUAUUUAUUGUGAAAAUGUGUUAUUGGGGGGAAUUUAAAGACCAGGGAUAUGUAGGUGGGGUACAUGAAUAUGUAGACUUUUGUAGAAUAGACCUUCUAACUAUGUCAGACUUGGGGUAUAUGGCUAUGGAAAUGGGUUAAUCCCUUUCAUCAUUGGUGUGAAAAGAGGGGUAAGGAAAAUCAUAACUGCUGAUGACAUUAAGAACAUAGGUCCUUAUUUGCCCAUUCAUAUUUCAUAGAGUAGUAACAAUCAGCUUUGUUCAUACGGACUCUAUGUCAGUUGCUUCUCUUCCUAAAUGGACUCAGGUUGAGAUAAAUUUAGAUGGAGACGAUUAUGGUUUUGAUGAAGAGGAAAAUGUGAAUCAGGCUUUGUACUAUAGUCAACCAAUGACAGUGACUUUGAAACACAGCAGGCCACAAAAGCAAAAAACAGAGCAUUACCAAAUAAAGUCCCAAAAACAAAGCAUUACCAAGUAAAGUUCCAAAAACAGAGCAUUGCCAAACAAAGUUUAAAAAACAAAGCACAACAGAGCUUCAUUACCAUCCAUUCAUUACAAAAUAGGGACUUCACAAAUCCUAACUACUCCAUCUCCCAAAUUCUAAUUACAAUUUUUUUCAUGCCUAAACGAUCGUAGAGUCAUGACUUAACGAUCAUAAAGUCAUGACAUACGAUCGUAGAGUUCGUAGAGUCAUGACUUAACGAUCGUAAAGUAAUGACUUAUCAAUCGUAGUCAUUACUCGUAAAGUUUAAAGUGACUUCAACCUUUACUAUAACAGAGCUACUCUACUAUUGUAGCACUUAUUUUAUUUUAUUUUUUGUAAAUUUGUAUACUCUAAUAUUUUAUUUUUAAAUAACAAUUAAUGGUCUUGAAGAUGAUAAAAAUUUCUUUAAUUGGGAUAUCUUUACUCGUAUCUAUUGUACGUACUUUUACAAAUCUUUUCAAACCUUAAAUUUUCUCACUUUAAUAAGUUUAUUUUUAUUACCUAAAAUAUAUUACAAGUUAUAAGUAACCCUGCAUAUAAGGCAUUUAAAUAUACAACAUUUAGUUUAUAAAAACAAUUGUUUUUACAUUAAAAGAAUUUAUGGCCGUUACACUAGUAGGAGUAGCGGCCCCUUUAAAAAUCCAAAUAAUCUCGAGGGCAGUUUAGCCAUUUCCCUGAUCGUUAGUAGGAGUUGCGCUGGCAGCAGGUUCUACUAGCAGCCGAGUCCAUCUCCUAGUCAAUCUGGGCACUUAGAUAUGCUAUUGGACAUCUCAAGAUCUGUUUGCUAUAAUAGUGUUCAAAGAAUAGUUUUUAUGGAGCAUUCUCCCUAUAUAUAUAUAUGUAUAAGGCAAUCAACAUUGGAAGGAAAUGGGUCUAUUAUUAUUAUUAUGGAGGGAAAUGAUGCAACUGUUGUGGAGGAAAAUAAUAGUAUAAUUGAAGCUAUAUGGUCAAAAUACAAUCAACAUAUGGUGAAGAUAGCAAUUCGUAGUCAACUAGUAUCUCUGGCGAUUUAAUUGGCCAGAAUGACAAAAGGAAUAGAAUUGAUGUUUUUACAUACUUAGAGGUAUAUUGAUUGGUCAUUCGUCCAAAGUUGGGGGACAGUUUUGUCAUUAGCCCAAUAAAAAGAGGUCACAUAAUGGUGUAUUGUAAUUGUAGCAAUUUUGUUUGUGUGAACCAGAGACAGAGUGAGGGGAGUUUAUAAUCUUGCUCUAGAUAUUAACAAAGCAUCUCCAAUAUGCUUCAGAUUUCACAUCUAAAUUGAGUGACAAAUAAAUAGAAAUAGCCGAAAUUUAGAAAAAAAAAUUGAAAGACAUAAUAGAUGCAAUAGGUACCAAAAUAACUGAUCUGAAAAUUAAACAUAAACACAAAUCAAAAUUAGAGUAUUUUCUCGACGCAACAAGCAGCUUCUCUGUUCUCUUCUCAAAUUUAGACAUGCCACAUAAAAAAGGGAAAAUGUAAACAGUAAACAGUAACAGCAAACCAAUACAAAACUAGAACUCAUUCAUGUCCGUAAUUAACACUGUACUGAUACCAAAGCAUACAAAUUCGGAAAGAAAGGAAGAAAUAGGGGAUCUUGUACUAAUUCGUCAUUCUACAAUUAAGAACACAAACCUCAGAGAACGGAAAGGGCAUAAAAAAAUUGGUAGAGAUUGCAGCUGUAAUGAAGCUCCGACUAAUGUCCGGCGAAUCAAAAUCGGCGUCCAGAGAUACAAAUAUAUAUAUAUAUAAAAUUACAAGUUUACGUGCAUAUAUGCAGGGGAAGUAAUGAGUAAGCAAAAGUUUGAGGCUUUCAGGAUCAUUUGGAUUAUAUCAAUCCUAGAGAGAGAGAGAGAGACGGAGAGGAGUCGAAAAACGGAAGCGUCGGAAGAGCCACGCUUUAUGCGAACACAGGGAGAGAACCGAGAAGAGAGAGAAAAGUGAAUAUGUUCG
rnacentral:lncRNA from 1 species